GAGGCAAUCUGACACAUUAUAUGCACAGUGAGGAAGUAGAGUGCAAUAAAUGUUAACAUUGGGCUACCUUUCUCUUUCUUAUUCAGUCUGGUACCCCAGCGGAUGGAACAGCACCACUGACAUGGAAGGCCCGGUGUUCCUCUGACCUUGGGGAAAGAGAAUCAUGGAAACACUUCAUUGCCUGGACUCAAAAUAAGCUGAGAAGAUACAUCCCUUGGCUAGAGGAAAGCUACCAACCAGAAUGUCUAUCCUCCUUUUAACACUACCAAGAGUUGAGUUGACAGAUCCCUUUUUACAAAGCAGAAAAUCAACCAUCCCACAGCCCUUCCUUU